rnacentral:rRNA from 1 species
UACAGAGGUGGCAAGCGUUGUUCGGAAUUACUGGGCGUAAAGGGCGCGUAGGCGGCCUUCUAAGUCAGACGUGAAAUCCCCCGGCUUAACCUGGGAACUGCGUCUGAUACUGGGAGGCUUGAGUAUGGGAGAGGGAUGUAGAAUUCCAGGUGUAGCGGUGAAAUGCGUAGAUAUUGGGAAGAACACCGGUGGCGAAGGCGGCUACUCUGGACCGAUACUGACGCUGAGGCGCGAAAGCGUGGGGAGCAAACAGGG